rnacentral:rRNA from 1 species
AACACNCCGAAAGGUGUGCUAAUACCGCAUAACGUAUCUUUGCCGCAUGACAGAGAUACCAAAGAUUUAUCGCUGAGAGAUGGACUCGCGUCCAAUUAGCUAGAUGGUGAGGUAACGGCUCACCAUGGCGACGAUUGGUAGCCGGACUGAGAGGUUGAACGGCCACAUUGGGACUGAGACACGGCCCAGACUCCUACGGGAGGCAGCAGUGGGGAAUAUUGCACAAUGGGGGAAACCCUGAUGCAGCGACGCCGCGUGAGUGAAGAAGGUCUUCGGAUCGUAAAGCUCUGUCUUCAGGGACGAUAAUGACGGUACCUGAGGAGGAAGCCACGGCUAACUACGUG